rnacentral:rRNA from 1 species
UUAAGCGACUAAGCGUACACGGUGGAUGCCCUGGCAGUCAGAGGCGAUGAAGGACGUGCUAAUCUGCGAUAAGCGUCGGUAAGGUGAUAUGAACCGUUAUAACCGGCGAUUUCCGAAUGGGGAAACCCAGUGUGUUUCGACACACUAUCAUUAACUGAAUCCAUAGGUUAAUGAGGCGAACCGGGGGAACUGAAACAUCUAAGUACCCCGAGGAAAAGAAAUCAACCGAGAUUCCCCCAGUAGCGGCGAGCGAACGGGGAGCAGCCCAGAGCCUGAAUCAGUGUGUGUGUUAGUGGAAGCGUCUGGAAAGGCGCGCGAUACAGGGUGACAGCCCCGUACACAAAAAUGCACAUGCUGUGAGCUCGAUGAGUAGGGCGGGACACGUGGUAUCCUGUCUGAAUAUGGGGGGACCAUCCUCCAAGGCUAAAUACUCCUGACUGACCGAUAGUGAACCAGUACCGUGAGGGAAAGGCGAAAAGAACCCCGGCGAGGGGAGUGAAAAAGAACCUGAAACCGUGUACGUACAAGCAGUGGGAGCACAGAGCAAUCUGUGUGACUGCGUACCUUUUGUAUAAUGGGUCAGCGACUUAUAUUCUGUAGCAAGGUUAACCGAAUAGGGGAGCCGAAGGGAAACCGAGUCUUAACUGGGCGUUAAGUUGCAGGGUAUAGACCCGAAACCCGGUGAUCUAGCCAUGGGCAGGUUGAAGGUUGGGUAACACUAACUGGAGGACCGAACCGACUAAUGUUGAAAAAUUAGCGGAUGACUUGUGGCUGGGGGUGAAAGGCCAAUCAAACCGGGAGAUAGCUGGUUCUCCCCGAAAGCUAUUUAGGUAGCGCCUCGUGAAUUCAUCUCCGGGGGUAGAGCACUGUUUCGGCAAGGGGGUCAUCCCGACUUACCAACCCGAUGCAAACUGCGAAUACCGGAGAAUGUUAUCACGGGAGACACACGGCGGGUGCUAACGUCCGUCGUGAAGAGGGAAACAACCCAGACCGCCAGCUAAGGUCCCAAAGUCAUGGUUAAGUGGGAAACGAUGUGGGAAGGCCCAGACAGCCAGGAUGUUGGCUUAGAAGCAGCCAUCAUUUAAAGAAAGCGUAAUAGCUCACUGGUCGAGUCGGCCUGCGCGGAAGAUGUAACGGGGCUAAACCAUGCACCGAAGCUGCGGCAGCGACGCUGAUGCGUUGUUGGGUAGGGGAGCGUUCUGUAAGCCUGUGAAGGUGUGCUGUGAGGCAUGCUGGAGGUAUCAGAAGUGCGAAUGCUGACAUAAGUAACGAUAAAGCGGGUGAAAAGCCCGCUCGCCGGAAGACCAAGGGUUCCUGUCCAACGUUAAUCGGGGCAGGGUGAGUCGACCCCUAAGGCGAGGCCGAAAGGCGUAGUCGAUGGGAAACAGGUUAAUAUUCCUGUACUUGGUGUUACUGCGAAGGGGGACGGAGAAGGCUAUGUUGGCCGGGCGACGGUUGUCCCGGUUUAAGCGUGUAGGCUGGUUUUCCAGGCAAAUCCGGAAAAUCAAGGCUGAGGCGUGAUGACGAGGCACUACGGUGCUGAAGCAACAAAUGCCCUGCUUCCAGGAAAAGCCUCUAAGCAUCAGGUAACAUCAAAUCGUACCCCAAACCGACACAGGUGGUCAGGUAGAGAAUACCAAGGCGCUUGAGAGAACUCGGGUGAAGGAACUAGGCAAAAUGGUGCCGUAACUUCGGGAGAAGGCACGCUGAUAUGUAGGUGAAGUCCCUCGCGGAUGGAGCUGAAAUCAGUCGAAGAUACCAGCUGGCUGCAACUGUUUAUUAAAAACACAGCACUGUGCAAACACGAAAGUGGACGUAUACGGUGUGACGCCUGCCCGGUGCCGGAAGGUUAAUUGAUGGGGUUAGCGCAAGCGAAGCUCUUGAUCGAAGCCCCGGUAAACGGCGGCCGUAACUAUAACGGUCCUAAGGUAGCGAAAUUCCUUGUCGGGUAAGUUCCGACCUGCACGAAUGGCGUAAUGAUGGCCAGGCUGUCUCCACCCGAGACUCAGUGAAAUUGAACUCGCUGUGAAGAUGCAGUGUACCCGCGGCAAGACGGAAAGACCCCGUGAACCUUUACUAUAGCUUGACACUGAACAUUGAGCCUUGAUGUGUAGGAUAGGUGGGAGGCUUUGAAGUGUGGACGCCAGUCUGCAUGGAGCCGACCUUGAAAUACCACCCUUUAAUGUUUGAUGUUCUAACGUUGACCCGUGAUCCGGGUUGCGGACAGUGUCUGGUGGGUAGUUUGACUGGGGCGGUCUCCUCCUAAAGAGUAACGGAGGAGCACGAAGGUUGGCUAAUCCUGGUCGGACAUCAGGAGGUUAGUGCAAUGGCAUAAGCCAGCUUGACUGCGAGCGUGACGGCGCGAGCAGGUGCGAAAGCAGGUCAUAGUGAUCCGGUGGUUCUGAAUGGAAGGGCCAUCGCUCAACGGAUAAAAGGUACUCCGGGGAUAACAGGCUGAUACCGCCCAAGAGUUCAUAUCGACGGCGGUGUUUGGCACCUCGAUGUCGGCUCAUCACAUCCUGGGGCUGAAGUAGGUCCCAAGGGUAUGGCUGUUCGCCAUUUAAAGUGGUACGCGAGCUGGGUUUAGAACGUCGUGAGACAGUUCGGUCCCUAUCUGCCGUGGGCGCUGGAGAACUGAGGGGGGCUGCUCCUAGUACGAGAGGACCGGAGUGGACGCAUCACUGGUGUUCGGGUUGUCAUGCCAAUGGCACUGCCCGGUAGCUAAAUGCGGAAGAGAUAAGUGCUGAAAGCAUCUAAGCACGAAACUUGCCCCGAGAUGAGUUCUCCCUGACUCCUUGAGAGUCCUGAAGGAACGUUGAAGACGACGACGUUGAUAGGCCGGGUGUGUAAGCGCAGCGAUGCGUUGAGCUAACCGGUACUAAUGAACCGUGAGGCUUAACCUU